CGGACGGGUGAGUAAUGUCUGGGAAACUGCCCGAUGGAGGGGGAUAACUACUGGAAACGGUAGCUAAUGCCGCAUAACGUCGCAAGACCAAAGAGGGGGACCUUAGGGCCUCUUGCCAUCGGAUGUGCCCAGAUGGGAUUAGCUAGUAGGUGGGGUAACGGCUCACCUAGGCGACGAUCCCUAGCUGGUCUGAGAGGAUGACCAGCCACACUGGAACUGAGACACGGUCCAG
rnacentral:rRNA from 1 species